CCGAAUUCUGCUCAGCCCUAGUCAUACAGUUGCAAUUUUGAUUCUGUUUAUGGUUCAUGUUGUGCUGUGGUGCUAUCUGUUUCUUGUUCAGAGAAGAUCAAUAGAAGGUGGAAAACAAGGUGCAUCUGUUAAAAAGUUGAAAAAGGACAAAGCUGCUAGUGCAACUGCAAAAGUUGUGCGUCCUGAGACUAAUACUGGAUCAAUGGCACCACGAGUCAAAUCAGAACUUCCCUUGCCAGUAAUGUAUUUUCUAGAAUCUUAUUUCUCUUUCCAUAUAAAAUAUACAUUAUGGCUGUUACCUGUAGUUUUGUUUUCUUGUGGACUAGAUGGUAUGCAUUUGGUGUUAGGAUCCAGCAAAAAGAUGUAGCAACGUGAUGUUUGUACCACAUGCGAGGAAAAAAUAUAUUUUGCAGUGAUUAAAUACAGGAAAUAGGAGAUAGAUUGUAGCUAUUAUCUAAUAAUUUGCAGCAUACUAUAUUGUAAAAAUAAAAAAGUAUAUUUGUUGGUUGGAGGCAUUUCUUUUAUGGUUUUUCUGAACUGUCCUGAAAACAGAACAUUAGCAAAAUUCCUGCCCACCCCACUUACACAAUGCAUGAAUGCUUGUUCUCAUGACCAUUAAAUUACCUUAGAUUCAACUAAGAUUUAAUUAGAUGAUCAGUGAAUUUUUGCUGGUGUUUCAUAUUGACUCUUUGAUGUCAUUCAUUUCUGUUUUCUUUUUUCUUGCUUGCUUGAUGGCUGUAGUUUAUCAAUUGUGCUAUGUCUUGUAUUUUUUGGAUUGUAUGUAAUCCGAACUUAGUCAUGGUUCAUUCUCUACAAUCUACAUAAAUAUGAUUUUUGCAAUGUUUUCCACGUUGAGGCCCUUGCACAAUUCCUUGGUCCAGG
rnacentral:misc_RNA from 1 species